rnacentral:rRNA from 1 species
AGCAUGUGGUUUAAUUCGAUGAUACGCGAGGAACCGUUACCUGGGCUCGAACGUAAGAUGACUGUAGGUGAAAGCUUACAUCUCUUCGGAGCAUUUUACGAGGUGCUGCAUGGUUGUCGUCAGCUCGUGCCGUGAGGUGUCGGGUUAAGUCCCAUAACGAGCGCAACCCCUACCUUUAGUUGCCAUCAGGUAAUGCCGGGGACUCUAAAGGAACUGCCUACGCAAGUAGUGAGGAAGGCGGGGAUGACGUCAAAUCAGCACGGCCCUUACGUCCAGGGCUACACACGUGCUACAAUGGCCGAUACAGAGGGCAGCUACCUGGUGACAGGAUGCAAAUCUCCAAAGUCGGUCUCAGUUCGGAUCGGAGUCUGCAACCCGACUCCGUGAAGUUGGAUUCGCUAGUAAUCGCGCAUCAGCCAUGGCGCGGUGAAUACGUUCCCGGGCCUU